CUGAUUGGUGAUAAACAUAGUUUAAUACUUUUGGUGCGCUACAGUUGAUGGACCUGAAAAUAUUGACGCGCAACUACAAAAACAAUCAAGUGGUGGGGAUGCAAAGUCACAUGCCCUCGUCACUCUCUCACCCACAUAUCGCCUCAAACUCAUCGACCAUAAAUAUGCUAACAGCUCUCAAUUUGCAGAGCAUGCAAAGACAAAACGAGAGAGAGAGAGAGAUAGAGAAGAGAUCUAUUGUGAUGAUAGCCGUAAAUAUGCAAAAAGAUUACUUUGCUGAAAAGUCGAAAGUACAUUGUGUAUGAUUGUUGACUAUCCAAUCACCUCCGCCCUCCACAAAACCCUAAUAAUAAUUGUUUCCGACAUUACAUUAUUGUUUUUCUCAGAUCUAAAGCCAUUGAUUCAGCUCGUGAGUUCAAAAUUGGUGUGUGUGGUGCAGUGAGGAGAUGAGGAAGGAGAUUACAGAGUCAUGACAGAAGAGAGUGAGCACACGCAGGCAUUUCUAUAAUCAGUAUAUAUAUUUGUUUAGACGUGUGCUCACUUCUCUAUCUGUCAUAUAACUUUCCACUCCCACCUUUUUCCAUUAUUACAACUCUCACUGCACCACCUAUUUCAAGAUUGCUCUGUGUGUGUGUGUGUGUGUGUGUGUGUGUGUGUUUAUUCAUUAAUUGAAGAGAUGAUUAUUAAGGGAAAUAGGCACAACAUCGAGUGUCACACGCCUCAGUCUGCAAAACACACCUACACAUAGUGAGAUUUUUCUGUUUUUUUCAGUUGUUUUUAGAAGAACAUUUUCGCGAAAUGAAUAUGAAUGUUUGAAUCUUGAAACCCUCUUAGCUCUAUCUCAUGUAAAUUGUCUUUUCAAGUUAUCUUUUUAACAAUUUUUUGUAUAAUUAAUUCAUGUGGAAGCAAAUUUCAUUGAUCUAGUUAUGACUUGGAUUACAAAUUGAAAAUAAAAGUUUGAAUCUUGAUGAAGCCCUCUUAAUUAGGUCUAUAUCUAAUGUAUACCGUUUCUUCAAAUUAUCUUUUUCACAGUUGUUUGGUUCUCUCUUUUAUUGGAGGAAAUUUCUUAUCAUAUGUAUCUGAUCAUGAAAAUAAAUUGUAAAUCUUGAAACCCUUUUUAGCUCCCUCUAUGUAUAUGUUUCUUCAAAUUAUCUUUUUUUGACAAUUUUUUCUUUGUAUUUUUAUGUGGAAGAAAAUGAAAUUAAAGCCUUAAUUUUUAUUUUUGUUUUUAUUGGGGAAGUCUUGAAGCUUAAUACAAGUAGAACUAGUAACUAUUGUAGGAUAGAGGUUAUGCAGUGAUUAGAUUGCUACUCCUUUCAUUUGAAAAAAAUUAUACUCAGAGGCGUGACUUUUGAUGUUGUCAUUGUUGGAGUUGAAGAUUUGGUAAGGUACGCCUGGCCACUGUUCUGAAAUAACGGCAAAGUGUUUUGUUGGUUGCAUUUGAGCCAUACUCAUUUUCCUCAAUAAAAUACUAUUAUCAACAAAAAAAAAUAAACAUUUAUACCAUACCCAAGUUCAAAUUAAUUCUUGAAAGCAAAAUCUGGAUUUUUUUCGCUUUUAGAUUUAAAAAAAUGAUUCUUUUGUAUCUUUGCCUCUACAAAAAAUAUGGGAUUUGUGAUUCCAUUACCAUAUUUUAUGUGAUUUGUUCGUUCCAACCAAAUUGGUUUUCUGGGUUUGUUUCUCUCUUGAAAUUGGUUAUGGUAACCUCUUUUUCCCUAUGAAGCUUGGGUGCAGCUCAGAAAAAUAAAAGGUGUUUUUUAGUACUCCAUCUCAUAUGUGAAGCUGAUGCGCAUAGAAUUAUGGGUGUCAUCGAGAAUGAAAAUUUUUCUUAUACAGGUUAGGAAUAUUGGAUCUUUUCAUUAUAUUCUGUUUAUUUAUUUUGUUUCCUUUCUGGAAGGAUCCCCACUAAGACAUUUGGUUAAUUCCGUUUCUAUAUUUUUUACUUACUUUCUUGCAAUCAAUUUUCUUGGACAGCCCUUGCUACUUGUUGCUGGAGGCUGAAACUUGAUUUCCCAGAUAUUCUCUUUUCAUGUUAAUUUUAUUACUAUUUGUCACAGAACAUUCGAGAUUUGUAGGAAGCAAGUGAUGCUGCUGAAAAAGAAACUCCCGAAAGUUAAUUGCUUAGUUAGUGUUUGUUUUAUGUAAACUAGCUAAUCUGAUUUUAAAGCUCUACUUUGGGUGUGUUACUGAUUUUUUUUGUGUUACUGAACUUGUCUUUUUGGCUUUAUUAUUCUGGUAUUUGGUGCAUGUUCUUUCAUGAUAGAUUUGGAACACAAUUAUGUUUGUUGUAGAUAUAUUUAAUCGUUAUACUCCAUAAAGAUAUCUAGCUAUGUAUAGGUUGAAUUGUGGUUCAGAACCUAUGAAGAGAAACUGCUGAUGGAUAAUGUUUCUUAUGGAUAUUCAAAUUUUAUAGACUUUUAGGAUGCAUUGAUCAAUUUUUGUGUUGCUAGUAAGUUCCCUUAUGAAUUGAAAAAAAAAAGAUUACCUAAUGUUGGCAUUUGUUCUAACUGGAACGUCCUUGAUAAAGGCUUCCAUGAAUAUGUGUAUAUGUGGAGGAUACCUAAAGAUAUACUGUGUCAUAAAUCAAAUCUUGAUGGCCAUAGUUUAUUACAACAUCUUGCUUUUUUUCAGCAUCUAAUUUUGUUGAUGUUUUCACAGCCGUAUUAUAUAACAUAUGAAGAUUUUUUUGCGUUAAGAGUGAAUCACAUUAUCCCAAUCAAAUGGAGUAGUUCAAUUCUUGGUCUUCUCAUUAAUCCACCAGCUAUCAGUUUUCAUCGAUAUGCAUCUCUUAUAUAAGAAGAGAACGUAUCAACUGAAUAAGCGAGUAUGUAACAAUUAUACAUGGCACUCAUAUUUACUAACUUUGGAAACUUGGUGUGUACACUGGCUCACUUAACUUUUAAGUAUUGUUAUUCUUCUUCUUCUUUCUCUUUGAAUGAGCUAGUGUUAAGAAGGUAAUACAAUCUCUUAACUUGUGUGUCGCUUAUCUUAUCAUUUGAUAUAUGGAAUUAUGGAUGCAUCAUGCAUCUAAGGAAAAGAUUGAAGUAUAAAUUUUCUUCUAAGGUUGUUAGGCUUAUUUUUGUUGCAGUCUCGGGCAGAUCACACUGAGUUAUUUUGUGUUUCUUUUGUUCUUUACGGAGUUAGGGAAGGGCGUGGAGUUGGAGUUGACGGGACUUGUUGUGCGGGGUGAUUUUAUUGUUUUUGUUGGAAGUAUGAUUCUAGGAAAAUCUCUUGCUUGGGAAAAAUAAAGCAUUCUAGCAUCUUGUGUUUCCUUAAGUAUCUUUGAACUGCAUAGAACCCAAAUUCAAUAUGCUAAUAAUUGACAGUUGUUUUGAACCUGAACUUGUUUUCGUAUCUUCCCUUUUUUAUCAAUCCUCUCUGAACUAUAUAUGUUUGAAUUCAAAAACCCAUAUUCGUUUAGUAUUUUUUAGGAGACGUUCAACGGUCCACUAAGACCACGCUCUAUGUUAAGAGACCUAGCUAGUCGGCAUACAUUUUGGAUGGACUAAUAUUUUAGGUCACCGAUAUCCAAGCCAGACAUGAUUUUGGGUUUCGUUUAGUGGGAGGCCCUCAUCAUCUUUGCUCUCCUUUACAUAUAAGGAUAACACUAUUACUAGUACAUAAUCUGAUUUCCUUUUCUUUAAUUUCGUCAAGUUAACAAAAUAAUGGAACAAAAUAUUCUCCAUUAAGAAAUAUGCUGCAUUUUGAUGUCUCACUUUUUACUUCCAUACUUGAUCUCUCAAUUUGUUUACAUUUAAUUAUCUAAUUUGAGUUAAUUCUUCUCUCUCCUCUACAUAGGUUUCUCAUGCUUGGCUUAUUUAGUGGAUCCAUUUUUUAAAAAAUGGAUUGAUUCCUUGUACAAUGCACAAAUACUGUUAUAUAUAUGAGAGAAAAAUUGAGUUUGAUUGACUGUCUGCCUUUUAUGUUAUGAUCAUCUGAUUGAUUCUAAUAUGAAGUUUAGUGUGAUGCUUGACUGAAUAGAUUAUCAUGGAAGAAUCAAGUGGUAAUACCAAAAAUCUGUUUGGUGAAAUCUCUGAUUCCAACAGCAGCAGUGUAAUCGGUGUGACAUCCUUGCACGACCCAAGGGCCUCUAGCUAGGUUGAGGUUUCUCUUCGAGAAGAAGCUCACGCCUAGAGACGCUGGCAAGCUCAAUUGGCUUGUCAUUCCCAAGAAGUUUGCUGUCCUAAAAUCCUUCCCUGUCAGGUUUGCGAUCAAGGGAUAGGAUUAUUUUAUCUUCUUACAACAGGCCCCGGGCGAGGUGGGCUCGGCGUUGAUGGAGAUGAAGGCAGUAGAUGUCAUUGAGAGAAUGGAUACUGGCAAUGUACAAGUGAAGGAAUAUAUUGUACUUUCUCUUUGGUGUAAACUAUUCGGCGCGUCGGAAUUGUGUUGGUUAA